rnacentral:rRNA from 1 species
UACGUAGGGGGCAAGCGUUAUCCGGAUUUACUGGGUGUAAAGGGAGCGUAGACGGUAUGGUAAGUCAGAUGUGAAAGCCCGGGGCUCAACCGCGGGACUGCAUCGGAUACUGUGGAUCUGGAGUGCCGGAGGGGCAAGCGGAAUUCCUGGUGUAGCGGUGAAAUGCGUAGAUAUCAGGAGGAACACCGGCGGCGAAGGCGGCUUGCUGGACGGCAACUGACGUUGAGGCUCGAAAGCGUGGGGAGCAAACAGGAUUAGAUACCCUGGUAGU